rnacentral:rRNA from 1 species
GACGAACGCUGGCGGCGUGCUUAACACAUGCAAGUCGAACGAUGAAGAAGAGAAACGCGAACUUCGGUUCAAAUUUCACUUCGGAUUAGUGGCAGACGGGUGAGUAACGCGUGAGCAACCUACCUCUUACAAAGGGAUAGCCUCGGGAAACCGUGAUUAAUACCAUAUGACACAUUCAUAAGGCAUCUUAAGAAUGUUAAAGCUACGGCGGUAAGAGAUGGGCUCGCGUCCCAUUAGCUAGUUGGUGAGGUAACGGCCCACCAAGGCGACGAUGGGUAACCGGCCUGAGAGGGUGAACGGUCACAUUGGAACUGAGACACGAUCCAAACUCCUACGGGAGGCAGCAGUGGGGAAUAUUGCACAAUGGAGGGAACUCUGAUGCAGCGACGCCGCGUGAGCGAUGAAGGAAUUCGUUUCGUAAAGCUCUGUUCUAUGGGAAGAAAAGGACUGUACCAUAGGAGAAAGCCCCGGCUAAAUACGUG